GGAUUUAUUGAGAAAGCUGCUAACUAUCUCUAAGCUUUAAAUUGUUAAAAUCCC
rnacentral:tRNA from 1 species